GGUGUUCACUCUGGCAGCAUACUAUUUAGUAAAACUGAUACAGAGAUUAGCAUGGCCCCUAUGCAAGAAUGACAUGCAAAUUCAUGAAGCAUUCCAUUUUUUA